UUCACUUAGACAUUAUGGGGUGUUGUGUGUAGGCCAGUGACACAAAACCUUAGUUAGCUCCUUUUUAAAUUCAGGCUGUAACACAACAAAAUGUGGAAAAAAUAAAGGGGUGUGAAUACUUUCUGAAGGCACUGUAUACAGAGAGAGAGGUUAAAGGCACUGUAUACAGAGAGAGAGGUUAAAGGCACUGUAUACAGAGAGAGAGGUUAAAGGCACUGUAUACAGAGAGAGAGGUUAAAGGCACUGUAUACAGAGAGAGAGGUUAAAGGCACUGUAUACAGAGAGAGAGGUUAAAGGCACUGUAUACAGAGAGAGAGGUUAAAGGCACUGUAUACAGAGAGAGAGGUUAAAGGCACUGUAUACAGAGAGAGAGGUUAAAGGCACUGUAUACAGAGAGAGAGAUGUUAAAGGCACUGUAUACACACAGAGAGAAAGGGUAAAGGCACUGUAUACAGAGAGAGAGAGGGUAAAGGCACUGUAUACAGAGAGAGAGGGUAAAGGCACUGUAUACAGAGAGAGAGAGGGUAAAGGCACUGUAUACAGAGAGAGAGAGGGUAAAGGCACUGUAUACAGAGAGAGAGAGGGUAAAGGCACUGUAUACAGAGAGAGAGAGGGUAAAGGCACUGUAUACAGAGAGAGAGAGGGUAAAGGCACUGUAUACAGAGAGAGAGGGUAAAGGCACUGUAUACAGAGAGAGAGGGUAAAGGCACUGUAUACAGAGAGAGAGGUUAAAGGCACUGUAUACAGAGAGAGAGGUUAAAGGCACUGUAUACAGAGAGAGAGGUUAAAGGCACUGUAUACAGAGAGAGAGGUUAAAGGCACUGUAUACAGAGAGAGAGGUUAAAGGCACUGUAUACAGAGAGAGAGGUUAAAGGCACUGUAUACAGAGAGAGAGGUUAAAGGCACUGUAUACAGAGAGAGAGGUUAAAGGCACUGUAUACAGAGAGAGAGGUUAAAGGCACUGUAUACAGAGAGAGAGGUUAAAGGCACUGUAUACAGAGAGAGAGGUUAAAGGCACUGUAUACAGAGAGAGAGGUUAAAGGCACUGUAUACAGAGAGAGAGGUUAAAGGCACUGUAUACAGAGAGAGAGGUUAAAGGCACUGUAUACAGAGAGAGAGGUUAAAGGCACUGUAUACAGAGAGAGAGGUUAAAGGCACUGUAUACAGAGAGAGAGGUUAAAGGCACUGUAUGUAGAGAGAGAGGUUAAAGGCACUGUAUGUAGAGAGAGAGGUUAAAGGCACUGUAUGUAGAGAGAGAGGUUAAAGGCACUGUAUACAGAGAGUGGGGUUAAAGGCACUAUACCUGCUGAACAUCAGGGAUGUUAUGGUGCUAAUGAAGUAGACAUGAGGGGUCCAGAUGGAAAUGUUGGCCAUUUGAAAAACUUUAAGCAAAGGUUAUCCCAUUAAUGUAAAUGUUUGCUAAUAGACCCUGUGUUCUCACUUCCUGCUAUUCCUGUCUGCUAUUCCACUCUGGCAGGAAAUCCCAACAG